rnacentral:rRNA from 1 species
UGACCUCAAAUCAGGUAGGACUACCCGCUGAACUUAAGCAUAUCAAUAAGCGGAGGAAAAGAAACUAACAAGGAUUCCCCUAGUAACUGCGAGUGAAGCGGGAAGAGCUCAAAUUUAAAAUCUGGCGGCGUCCUCGUCGUCCGAGUUGUAAUCUGGAGAAGCGACAUCCGCGCUGGACCGUGUACAAGUCUCUUGGAAAAGAGCGUCGUAGAGGGUGACAAUCCCGUCUUUGACACGGACCGCCAGGGCUUUGUGAUGCGCUCUCGAUGAGUCGAGUUGUUUGGGAAUGCAGCUCAAAAUGGGUGGUAAAUUCCAUCUAAAGCUAAAUAUUGGCGAGAGACCGAUAGCGAACAAGUACCGUGAGGGAAAGAUGAAAAGAACUUUGGAAAGAGAGUUAAACAGUAUGUGAAAUCGCUGAAAGGGAAACGCUUGAAGUCAGUCGCGUCGGUCRGAAUUCAGCCUUGCUCACGCUCGGUGUACUUUCUGACCGACGGGUCAGCAUCGAUUUUGACGGUCGGAUAAAGGUCGAGGGAAUGUGGCACCUUCGGGUGUGUUAUAGCCUUCGGUYGGGAUACGACGGUCGGGAUCGAGGAAAACCGGGCGCUUUCGCG